rnacentral:rRNA from 1 species
UACGUAGGGGGCGAGCGUUGUCCGGAUUUAUUGGGCGUAAAGAGCGUGUAGGCGGCCAGGUAGGUCUGCUGUGAAAACUCGAGGCUCAACCUCGAGACGUCGGCGGAAACCAUCUGGCUAGAGUCCGGAAGAGGAGAGUGGAAUUCCUGGUGUAGCGGUGAAAUGCGUAGAUAUCAGGAGGAACACCGGUGGCGAAGGCGCUCAUCUGGCCCAAUACUGACGCUGAGGCGCGAAAGCUAGGGGAGCAAACGGG